AUUGAACGCUGGCGGCAGGCCUAACACAUGCAAGUCGAGCGGAUGAAGGGAGCUUGCUCCUGGAUUCAGCGGCGGACGGGUGAGUAAUGCCUAGGAAUCUGCCUGGUAGUGGGGGAUAACGUCCGGAAACGGGCGCUAAUACCGCAUACGUCCUGAGGGAGAAAGUGGGGGAUCUUCGGACCUCACGCUAUCAGAUGAGCCUAGGUCGGAUUAGCUAGUUGGUGGGGUAAAGGCCUACCAAGGCGACGAUCCGUAACUGGUCUGAGAGGAUGAUCAGUCACACUGAAACUGAGACACGGUCCAGACUCCUACGGGAGGCAGCGGUGGGGAAUAUUGGACAAUGGCGAAAGCCUGAUCCAGCCAUGCCGCGUGUGUGAAGAAGGUCUUCGGAUUGUAAAGCACUUUAAGUUGGGAGGAAGGGCAGUAAGUUAAUACCUUGCUGUUUUGACGUUACCAACAGAAUAAGCACCGGCUAACUUCGUG
rnacentral:rRNA from 1 species